rnacentral:lncRNA from 1 species
AGGCUAUUGGAUUAUUUUUUCCUUAAAUAAGCAUGACUGACCAAUUAUCAGGGCGAAUAAUAAAUCGGUGAUCUCUGCGUCCCCUGCUUCUACUACUACUACUCUCUCCAUUAUUUCUAACACUAACAGUACUACUGUUGUCGAGAGUAGAGUAAUUCCGCAGCAGCUUCAACCGAUUCUUCCAAUUAGACGCAGAUAAUUUGAUGGAGGAUACGAACCGCUGGACAAGAUGAGGUGGUUUCAGAAUAAAUAGCAUUGGACGAGGAAUAUAAUCUUUUUAUGUCUACUCCAGAAUCAAAUGAAAUUUAAAGAGAUAAGCACAGAAUUUAUGCUGCAUUAUUGGGUUAAUUACAGUGUGAAGUUUUAUUCUGGCUAAUUUCUAAAGUAUUUAAUUUAAAAUCAUAAAGUUUCUUUUUUUGGUCAUUAAUUGAUGUGUGUGUGUACAUAUAAAUUAAUUUUCAUUUUCGUUUAUUAUGAAUGUUAACGUUCUUACGUAUAGUUUAGCGAACUUUAUUUUGAGGUGCUAAUGUUUGUGGAUUCUUUUUUGGUUUAUUUAACCUUUUGUGAAUUCCUUAUGUCUUUGACUUAAUUACAAUCAAAAUAUGCUUAUAGAGUUUUUUUUUUCUAUUUUUCUUUUCUUUUAUGGGGUUGAUUUUUCGAUAGUUGAUACACCUUACAAACGUAGUAACUGAAAUUGUAAUAAAGUUUUAAAUUUUACAAGAUAAAUUAAAAGACUUUAUUAUUUAAUUUAAUGAGAAUCGACGUAAGAGACUUAAAAUGAUUAAAAAAAGAACAGUUACAAAAAAUUGCGACAAUGUUUAUGUGGUGGUUGGUGUAUGUAUCUACAUAGCAGCAGUACUCUCAGUCGAUGGCAUUGCUCCGAUGUUGUGUCCAUCUUAUAAUUAAUAGUCUCUUUUUUAAUGACAACUUUAGUUUUGCAUUUUGAAAGAUCUCACAGUAAAAAUCAUUAUUUCUAGAAAUAUUUUUUGAAAAAGCAAGAGACCCAAUAAAAUUAUCUUCGUUCUAAGUUAUAAAUGAACCAGAUGAUCAUUUGAAGUCUAUUCAGUACUCUGAAGUAUAGCUAAAACUAAAGCAAGCCAUGUUGGGUUCUUGAAUUCUAAAUCAAUAAAUUAAUUGAUUUAGUAGAUAAUAUAGACAGAGCUCAAAAUUUUUAAUUUUUUUUAUAUUAAAAAAAGAACUUUAAGGCAACUUCCUUUGAAGUCCCCAAAACCCCCUGAAAAGUGAUGAAUGGUGAUGAAACUAAUGAUGUUUGGGAAAAUUACUUCUAAAUUUAAAUUAAUUAAGAAGUGCGCAUGACAAUGAGAAUACAUAUAUACUAAUGUUUUCUUAUAUAUUUGGCAAACACAUAUGGACCGGUAAAUAGUCUUUUUCCACUGCAAGCUAGGGUCCAACUUGUUUGCUACUGCUACCAACACCCUAUGUUUCUAUUUAAUUGUACUUUAAAAAUCACAUACAUAUUAAGGUAUCAACUAUUAUUAUAUAUUAGUUAUAAUUUUAUUAUCAAUUUAAAUAAUUAUAUAACUCUCCAAGUAUAAUAAAUAUAUUUUUUGAUUUCAAAAAGAAUACAUUACAAUUUAGUAGUGCUAGAGAUUUUCUAAAAUUAAAUAAGGGUAUAUUAAAAAAAAUUAUUGUUCUUUUUUUAUUUGUUAAAAUGGACAAAUAAAUAAAAACAAAUAUAAAAAAAAUAUAAACGAGUAAAUAAAAACAGAAAGUAAGUGCUAUAGUUUUACAUUCAUGCAUCAGAAAAUUAAACACAUAUCGAUUAUGAGGCAUAAUAUAUAUAGUGCAUCUAGUCGUUUUAGCUGAUUCAUAUUUCCAUCAUUUUUGGUUUUUACUCUUAAUUAUACUUCAUUUGUCCAUAAUUAUUUGUCAGAAUAAGGUCAUGCACUUUCCUCAAGAAUAAUUUAAUACAAGAUGUAAUUUGACUAAUAUAACUCUAUUAUACCAAGAAUAACAAAAAUCUACAUAAUUAAGGGUAGAAUUGAAAAAAUGACUAAUUAUUUUUUUUUGUUUAAAUUGACAAUUGAUUUUCAAUAUCUAUUUUUAGUAUAUUUGUCAAAAAAUUGUGAACGGAAAGAGUAUUUAUGAUAUCCACGUCAAGAAGCUGUCUCACAAGUCAUUUCCCUAUCCCCACUCCCUUUAAUACUUUUUUAUCGUUUUUUAAAAAAAUAAUCUUGAAGGAAACAAGCUAUUUCAAUGAAGUAAUUGAUGAAUGAGACGUUUCAUAUUUGGUGAAUGAGUAAAUUUAAUCUUGAGCUUCUUAUAAUAUUUGAAAGUUUCCUAUUUAAUCUUGAGCUUCUUAUAAUAUUUGAAAGUUUCCUUCCUUUGAAUGUAUUAGCUCUUAAAUUAUAAUUGUAUAAGUUAGAUUCAAAAUCUAAUUUAACGAUGAAAUUAAAAGGUACCUAAGAUAAUCAGUGGUCAUGUACUGUUGUGUUAACAAGAAUGAUUGUACAAAACGGCUACGCAAGAGACUUUUACAUGAUGAAAGAAAUUAUUUUCUCAUUCAAAAAUAAGUCAUAUUACAUAUAUAUCCUUUUUAAAAUUACUCUUUUUAAAAAUAAAUGAAGUUUUAUAUCAUUAAAGAGACACUUUUUCCUCCAGUGAAUUUUAUCAGUUGUAAGAAAGUAGAUCACUUUUUUUUAUCAUCAUUAAAGAGACUUUUUACUCCAGUGAAUUUUAUUAGUGGUAAGAAAGUAGAUCACCUUUUUUUUUUUAGGAGAGAGUAGUUUUUUUUAAAAGGGUGUGUGAUAAUGUAUUUAUUAAAAAUACGUUAAAAAAAUACAUCAUUUUUAUGUAGGGAGUAUUACAUUUGUGCCAGAGGGUUUCUUAAUUUAAUGGUGAAGAACCAGCAAAUACCGGCUGCAUGGUGGGCUAUUAGUACCCUUGGAUAUUACUUCAUACAAUUUAAACUUAUGAGUGGCUGUAGAGGCCUGAAUUUUGAGAUAAUGGAUGUAUUAUUACGAAAAGGUAAAUUUAAGAUAUUAAUUUAU